GGGGGCGAAACGGAUUCGACGGGGAUGUGUAAGCUCACUGUUGCAUGCCGAGCUUCUUCUUGCUCGUAAAACCAGGAGAACCUAAAUAUAAUCGCAGACGAUUAUAACUACGCAGUAGCAGCUUAAUACCUGUCAUACUGCCGUUCCACCGGUCUUCGCCCGUAAGGCCGGAUUUGGGGCGUCGACUCAACGGGCUGGUUUCCAUGGGGCCGACGGUCCCCCUGGCGACGAGACGCAACCGCCUAGCUUGACAAAAUCUAGGUUCCGACUGAGUUUGCCAAGCGAAAACUAAAGCCCGGAACUAAGCAUGUAGAUACGGGAGGGGAGCAUUUUCGGACGCGGGUUCGACUCCCGCCGCCUCCACCA
rnacentral:tmRNA from 1 species